rnacentral:rRNA from 1 species
AUUGAACGCUGGCGGCAUGCUUUACACAUGCGAGUCGAACGGCAGCGCGGGCUUCGGCCUGGCGGCGAGUGGCGAACGGGUGAGUAAUACAUCGGAACGUGCCCAGUAGUGGGGGAUAGCUCGGCGAAAGCCGGAUUAAUACCGCAUACGACCUGAGGGUGAAAGCGGGGGAUCUUCGGACCUCGCGCUAUUGGAGCGGCCGAUGGCAGAUUAGCUAGUUGGUGGGGUAAAGGCCUACCAAGGCGACGAUCUGUAGCUGGUCUGAGAGGACGACCAGCCACACUGGGACUGAGACACGGCCCAGACUCCUACGGGAGGCAGCAGUGGGGAAUUUUGGACAAUGGGCGAAAGCCUGAUCCAGCAAUGCCGCGUGUGUGAUGAAGGCCUUCGGGUUGUAAAGCACUUUUGGCGGGAACGAAAAGGACUGUGCCAAUACCACGGUUCGAUGGCGGUACCCGCAGAAUAAGCACCGGCUAACUACGUG